GGAUAGGUGGCUGAGUGGUCGAAAGCGGCACACUGCUAAUGUGUUAUGGGAGUGAUCCCAUCGAGGGUUCGAAUCCCUCCCUGUCCG
rnacentral:tRNA from 1 species